rnacentral:lncRNA from 1 species
CAACCAAGUCUCAAAUAAUGUGAUGACAUGUCAGACAGAUAUACUUCUCACAAAUAAGUAACAAAUAUUGUAAUGACAUGUCAGACAGAUAUACUUCUCACAACCAAGUCACAAACACUGUAGUGACAUGUCAGACAGAUAUACUUCUUACAACCAAGUCACAAACACUGUAUUGACAUGUCAGACCGAUAUACCUCUUACAACCGAGUCACAAACAUUGUUAUGACAUGUCAGACAGAUAUACUUCUCACAAC